AAUGAAAUGCCUGAAUAAAGGAUUAUUUUGAUAGAAUAAAUUAUAUAACUAAAUUAUUUUCAUUA
rnacentral:tRNA from 1 species